rnacentral:rRNA from 1 species
CCCUAUGGGGUGCAGCAGUUAGGAAUAAUCUACAAUGCGCGAAAGCGUGAUAGUUUGAGCCAGAGUGCUUCUCAUUGAGAAGCUUUUGUUAAAUGUAAAAAGUUUAACGAAUAAGGACUGGGUAAGACUAGUGCCAGCCGCCGCGGUAAUACUAGCGGUCCAAGUCGCAGCCAUUUUUAUUGGGUCUAAAACAUCCGUAGCUUGUUUUGUGAGUUUCUUGUGAAAUUUUGUUUCUUAAAGACAAAGCGUGCAGGAAGUACUGCAAAACUAGAGACUGGGAGACGUAAGAAGUACGUUCAAAGUAGCGGUAAAAUGCUUUAAUCUUGGGCGGACUUACAAUAGCGAAGGCAUCUUACGAGAACAGUUCUGACAGUAAGGGAUGAAGGCUAGGGGCGCAAAACGGAUUAGAUACCCGUGUAGUCCUAGCAGUAAACACUGCACACUAAACAUCAGUACCUCUUCGAGAGGUAUUGGUGCUGCAGGGAAGCCGAAGAGUGUGCUACCUGGGAAGUAUAGUCGCAAGGCCGAAACUUAAAGGAAUUGGCGGGGAGACACUACAACGGGUGACGCGUGCGGUUCAAUUAGAUUAUACACCGUGAACCUCACCAGGACCGACAGCAGGAUGAAGGUCAGUCUGAAGGGCUUACCUGACACGCUGAGAAGUGGUGCAUGGCC